GGGACUUAGCUCAUUCGGUAGAGCGCCUGCUUUGCAAGCAGGAGGUGGCGGGUUCGAAUCCCGCAGUCUCC
rnacentral:tRNA from 1 species